rnacentral:rRNA from 2 species
GGUUAAGCGACUAAGCGUACACGGUGGAUGCCCUGGCAGUCAGAGGCGAUGAAGGGCGUGCUAAUCUGCGAUAAGCGCCGGUAAGGUGAUAUGAACCGUUAUAACCGGCGAUACCCGAAUGGGGAAACCCAGUGUGACUCGUCACACUAUCAUUAACUGAAUCCAUAGGUUAAUGAGGCGAACCGGGGGAACUGAAACAUCUAAGUACCCCGAGGAAAAGAAAUCAACCGAGAUUCCCCCAGUAGCGGCGAGCGAACGGGGAGGAGCCCAGAGCCUGAAUCAGCAUGUGUGUUAGUGGAAGCGUCUGGAAAGGCGCGCGAUACAGGGUGACAGCCCCGUACACAAAAGCGCAUGUGCUGUGAGCUCGAUGAGUAGGGCGGGACACGUGGUAUCCUGUCUGAAUAUGGGGGGACCAUCCUCCAAGGCUAAAUACUCCUGACUGACCGAUAGUGAACCAGUACCGUGAGGGAAAGGCGAAAAGAACCCCGGCGAGGGGAGUGAAAAAGAACCUGAAACCGUGUACGUACAAGCAGUGGGAGCACCCUUUGGGGUGUGACUGCGUACCUUUUGUAUAAUGGGUCAGCGACUUAUAUUCUGUAGCAAGGUUAACCG